rnacentral:lncRNA from 1 species
UUGAGGAAAGUUUUGAGAGAGGAGAGACAAAAUCUGAGAGCAGGAACACUGUAAGGAGAGUAGACUGUUGCUUGCUGCAGUAGAGUUCAAGGAGUGGCAACCUAACCUACGAACAACCCCAGAAAUUUUAAAAAAAAAAACAGAAUUUAAAGUAAAGGCAAUAAUAAUAAUAAUGGAAAAAGUAGCAGCAGUAGUUGACAGACAGUGGUAUAGCAGCAGCAGCAGGAGGUAGCAGUAGAAACAAGAUCGAAACAUAGAGGUGUUGAAUUAAUAGUUAGAACAACAGUAGUACCAAAAUACAAGGAAAAGUAAGUCAGUCGCCGUGCAGGGAAAUCCUAUCUCUUGAUCAUUUCACUUCACUCACCCAUAUUAUCCAUUGGAUAUCUUUCUGUGCGAGUGAGGAAAAAACAAGAAAAAUGGAGGUUGCUCAGAUUAGGGAAUUUUACAAUUUGUCAUUUCAUACGUCUUGUUUCAUUUCUUCUUGCUAAGACGUCCAAUAUUGAACUCAAACCUUCACCUAAACGUCCAAAUGUUACCUGAAUGUUUGUAGAUAUUGUAGAAAUAGAAGAAGAAAUGUUUUUUUUUUGCACUAAGAGCAUGUUCAGAUGUGGCGUUGGAUAAAACGGUUGUUUCUUUAGAUUUUUUUGUUUCGUAAAAGAACCAAAUUUUAGAAUUCGUCUAUUUAAGAGCUUGAAAACAUUAAA